rnacentral:rRNA from 1 species
CAGUAGCCGCGGUAAUACAGAGGGUGCGAGCGUUAAUCGGAUUUACUGGGCGUAAAGCGUGCGUAGGCGGCUUUUUAAGUCGGAUGUGAAAUCCCUGAGCUUAACUUAGGAAUUGCAUUCGAUACUGGGAAGCUAGAGUAUGGGAGAGGAUGGUAGAAUUCCAGGUGUAGCGGUGAAAUGCGUAGAGAUCUGGAGGAAUACCGAUGGCGAAGGCAGCCAUCUGGCCUAAUACUGACGCUGAGGUACGAAAGCAUGGGGAGCAAACAGGAUUAGACCCCCGUAGUCCCUGUCUCUUAUACAC